AUUGAACGCUGGCGGCAUGCCUUACACAUGCAAGUCGAACGGCAGCACGGGUGCUUGCACCUGGUGGCGAGUGGCGAACGGGUGAGUAAUAUAUCGGAACGUACCUUAUUGUGGGGGAUAACGCAGCGAAAGCUGUGCUAAUACCGCAUAAUCCCUAAGGGGGAAAGCGGGGGACCGUAGGCCUCGCGCAAUUAGAGCGGCCGAUACCUGAUUAGCUAGUUGGUGAGGUAAAGGCUCACCAAGGCAACGAUCAGUAGCUGGGCUGAGAGGACGAUCAGCCACACUGGGACUGAGACACGGCCCAGACUCCUACGGGAGGCAGCAGUGGGGAAUUUUGGACAAUGGGGGCAACCCUGAUCCAGCAAUGCCGCGUGAGUGAAGAAGGCCUUCGGGUUGUAAAGCUCUUUUGUCAGGGAAGAAACAGCAGCUCUAACACAGUUUGCGAAUGACGGUACCUGAAGAAUAAGCACCGGCUAACUACGUGCCAGCCGCCGCGGUAA
rnacentral:rRNA from 1 species